AGGCCCAAAAGUUUUAAGUCAUGUCAUAUAACAGAUAUUGUACUGUGUUGUGGAGAUGCGUUAUUGGGCCUAAGAUACGGCCCAGUUUAGUCCGAAAAAUACAAAUUUAUCAGAGAAAAGGGCCGAACAAAACGUCAAAACCCUAACUCUAUAAGAGACCGUUCUGAAACAUUCAGGCGGCGGUGGCGGCGAUGGAAGUAGACGGAUGGUGGUAGGAAUGAAAGGCUAGAAGCGGCGGAGAAGUAUGUGGAUAAGAAAUAACAAAAACUGAGGGGAUCAUGAAGUUCUUCGUUAUAUUAUAGUUUUCAAUCUGAAUUUCAAUUCCGCCGCUCGCCUUUUUCCUCUCCGCCUUUUCCGUCUCUCCGAUCUGCUCCCGCCGCCGACCUUGUGAUGAUUAUAGCUCUGAAGGUCCAUACAAGGAUAUUCAAAUCUCACUUCUUGUAGAAUAGAAAUUUCGAAAGUUAUUAUUGAAUAGAAGAACUUUUAUUAGUCAAGAUUGCAAAAUAUUUUUAUAUUCUUUGUGCACUCCUGAAAUACACAUUCACGAAUUUAUAGAUCCAUUUGUUAGCUUAAUUAAACUCUAAAGUUCAAUGUCUUUUUUUCUUUGGUGAGUUUGUCUGGGAAGUAAAAAAAAAAGUUUUGAUCAGACACUCAAAUUUUGAGUAUCAUUCUUUAACAUUCAGAAUAUCAAUUUUGAGUAUCAUUUACAAAGACCAGACACUAAAAUGUUAAGUCCAGCUAAGUAUCAUUCUUCAACGUUAAUUAAAGUUUUAUCACAUCCCUUGAAUAAUUUGAGUCUCUACAGAAAGUUUUUGAAGAGCAUAUUAUUAUUAGCAGCAGUGUAACUUGG